UCUAUAGAAUCAGCCUCUUUGUGCAUGUCCAGUCCUCACUGUUCCCUCACGCUCUACAGAAUAACCCUGUGUGUGCAGGAUCAGUCCUCAGUGUCAUCUCACACUCUAGAGAAUCAGCCUCUGUGUGCACGCUCAGUCCUCACUGUUCCCUCACACUCUACAGAAUAAGCCUCUGUGUGCACGCUCAGUCCUCACUGUUCCCUCACACUCUACAGAAUCAGCCUCUGUGUGCAGGUUCAGUCCUCACUGUUCCCUCACACUCUACAGAAUCAGCCUCUUUGUGCACGUUCAGUCCUCACUGUUCCCUCAAACUCUACAAAGUAAGCCUCUGUGUGCACGUUCAGUCGUCACUGUUACCUCAGAAUCUACAGAAUCAGCCUCUGUGUGCACGCUCAGUCCUGUUACCUCACACUCCACAGAAUCAGCCGCUGUGUGCACACUCAGUCCUCACUGUUCCCUCACACCCAAGAGAAUCGUUCUCGGUGUGCAAGUUCAGUCCUCACUGUUCCCUCACACUACAUAAUCGUCUCUGUGUGCACGUUCAGUCCUCACUGUUCCCUGACACCCAACAGAAUAAGCCUCUGUGUGCACAUUCAGUCAUCACGAUUACCUCACAGUCUACAGAAUCAGAUUCUGUGCACAUCCAGUCCUCACGGUUCCCUCACACUCUACAGAAUCAGCCUUUGUGUGCACCUUCAGUCCUCACUGUACCCUCACACCCAACAGAAUCAACCUCUGUGUGCACCUUCCGUCCUCACUGUACCCUCACACCCAACAGAAUCAACCUCUGUGUGCACAUUCAGUCCUCACUGGUACCUCACUCUACAGAAUCAGAAUCUGUGUGCACGUUCAGUCCUCACGGUUCCCUCACACUCUAUAGAAUAAGACUGUGUGUGCGUUCAUUCCUUACUUUUCCCUCAAACUCUACACAAUCAGACACUAUGUGCACAUUCACUCCUCACUGUUCCCUCACACUCUACAGAAUCAGCCUGUGUGCACGUUCAGUCACUGUUCCCUGACACCCAACAGAAUCAGCCUCUGUGUGCAUGUUCAUUCCUCGCUGUUUGUUCACACUCUACAGAAUCAUCCUGUGAGUGCAUGUUCAGUCACUGUUCCCUCACACCCAACAGAAUCAGCCUCUGUGUGCAUGUUCA
rnacentral:lncRNA from 13 species